rnacentral:sRNA from 1 species
GUUUCAAUUCGCCGAUUUCUUUCUCCAGUUUCACGACAGCGUGAAACUGGAUUCCUUGAAUCAUGCUUUCGCCGCACUUAUCUAUUAGC